rnacentral:rRNA from 1 species
UCGCCUACGGGGGGCAGCAGUGGGGAAUAUUGCACAAUGGGGGAAACCCUGAUGCAGCGACGCCGCGUGAGUGAAGAAGUAUUUCGGUAUGUAAAGCUCUAUCAGCAGGGAAGAAGAAAGACGGUACCUGACUAAGAAGCCCCGGCUAACUACGUGCCAGCAGCCGCGGUAAUACGUAGGGGGCAAGCGUUAUCCGGAUUUACUGGGUGUAAAGGGAGCGCAGGCGGGAAGCCAAGUCAGCUGUGAAAACUACGGGCUAAACUUGUAGACUGCAGU